rnacentral:rRNA from 1 species
CCUACGGGUGGCAGCAGUGAGGAAUAUUGGUCAAUGGGCGCGAGCCUGAACCAGCCACGUAGCGUGAAGGAUGACUGCCCUACGGGUUGUAAACUUCUUUUAUAAAGGAAUAAAGUGAGGCACGUGUGCCUUUUUGCAUGUACUUUAUGCAUAAGGAUCGGCUAACUCCGUGACAGCAGCCGCGGUAAAACGGAGGAUCCGAGCGUUUACCGGAUUUAGUGGGUUUAAAGGGAGCGUAGAUGGGUUGUUAAGUCAGUUGUGAAAGUUUGCGGCUCAAACGUAAAAUUGCAAUUGGUACUGGCGGUCUUGAGUACAGUUGAGGUAGGCGGAAUUCGUGGUGUAGCGGUGAAAUGCUUAGAUAUUACGAAGAACACCGAUUGCGAAGGCAGCUUACUAAACUGCCACUGACAUUGAUGCUCGAAAGUGUGGGUAUCAAACAGGAGUAGAUACCCGAGUAGUU